GGGGGGUGGUCAGGGAGUGGUGGAGGGGAAAGAGAGGCCGAGCGAGAGACAGUCAGACAGACUGCGUAGCAGAUGGCCGCGCGAGGGGGCGGGGUCCAGGCGGAGCGCGGGGGGACCCCAAGCGUCGGGGCGCGAGGGAACCAAUCAAUUCCCGCAGCCACUCCGGGGCUAGAAAACAAGUGUAGACGCAGAGAUUCGCGCCCCACCAGCGGUCCCUAGUUUACGGUAGAAAACACGAUUUCCUUUCGAUACGAAAGCGCGUGUAGAGCGUAGUUCGGAGAGCCGGCGGUCCGCAGUAACUGGCUGGGGGAGGCGGUUUGCGGCUGCCCGGGGCGCUGAGCGCUGGGGCAGUUUCUCCUGACCUCUCCCUGCGUCGGGCCAGCCAAGGGGAAAGCCUCGAAUGGGAGAGAGGGGUGAAGGCAGAGGAUGGGUGAGGAAGGAAAGGGCUGAGAAAUGGCAAGAGCCCAUCCUGCCUCGGAAACUACAUAAUGGCAGGGAAGGACCGCCAGCAAGACUGGAACCAGUACAAGUUGCACAGUUGUUUGUGCAUUUGACUCAGCUACAGCAGUAGUUGCACCGGGAGGGGCAAAAUGUCACCCAAGAGGUAGAGAAGAAAAAAUAGCAAUUGAGACACCAGUGUCACGUGAUUCAGGGUUGAUGUCCAGCCCAGAGCAUGGCUGUCCCGAAGGUGUCAUAGCAGUAGUGGCUCUCUGGAGCUGUUGUUUCCUCUAGGAAGAAAUACAGCCUUUUAGGAGUCUCACAGAACUUCUUAGAUCCUACUGUUGAAGUCUGUGGCUCCUCUCUGGUGCAAUGGAUCCUGGGAAGAUGUGGUACAGAAGGGACAGUUCAUAAAGAGGAAUGGACUUCAAAUGAAGAGACCUCAUUAAAAUGCAUGCUUCUCAUUCUUGGAGCUCUACAAAUAAAGGAGAAGCAAGAGACCAUCAACAAGAUGGUGUUUGUUUCAAGUUUUACAGGGAGAAGAGAUGAACCGUGAGUGCAGAAGGAACAGAGAGAAAGAGGGAGACACAGAAUCCGAAGCAGGCUCCAGGCUCCGAGCUGUCAGCCCAGAGCCCAACGCGGGGCCCAGACUCACAGACCAUGAGAUCAUGGCCUGAGCCAAAGUCAGACACUUAACAGACGGAGCCACCCAGAGAGAGAGCACGCGCGAGAGGGAGAGGGGCAGAGGGAGAGGAGAGAGAGAAUCCCCGGUGCGGGGCCCGAUCCCACAAACCUGGGAUCGUGACCUGGGUCGAAACCAAGAGGCAGAUGCUCAACCCUCUGAGCCACCCAGGCUCCCCCCAGAAAGGACCUUCUAGAACUCUAAAGUAGUGUAUCCAUGUUUACUGUUCUUGCUGCCACGGGGAACACUAAUCAGGAACCCCUUCAUUAUUCCACUGAAAAAAAGUUUAUUGCACACAUGGAUGCCUUCUACAACUAUUCCGAUGAGACUCUGGCACACGUUAUUCCCACAUUUUCCAAGGCUCUUCAAAGUUCCAAGCCCUCAGGAAUUCUGUGACUUCACACUUGCUCAAAAUAUGAAUCUGAAAAUAAAAUUAAUCUAUGGAGUAUAAAAAAGUCAGUUGAAAAGACUCAAUGACAUGGACCCUUCUGUAAGUGAGCAGCAAAGCAUUAACUGGUCUUAAGAGACUUCCAUCAGCAGCCAGGUGCCUUGCGGUUCCCGGGAGUUCUAGAUCCAAGACUCCCUCAGCACCAUCUUCCCGGAAACACUGCUUCAGGGUCAUUACCACAAAGAGAGAAGUGUUCAAAAGGAGAGUGCCAUCAUGGAGCCCACGCCAGCUUUCCACAUGCUUACCCUGGAUUUUAGCAGUAAAUUGUUGGGUGUUCACAUAGUGUGUUAUUUACUGUAUGGCACUUUAUCUGUGUUUAUAAACCAUAGACUUGGUUUUCCUGCCAACUUCAGUGUGGGAUAAUUGAAAUUAAAAAGAAAGAAACCAAGUGCCAAAGUCUGCAAGUCUCAUCUGUAAAACAAAAAGGGGAAAAGCAGCUGAACUGAAUUUCUAAGUAAAAUAUGUUGUAUCUAAUGUAAAACAAUUCUAAAAUCAUUUUCGAAAAGAAUCCUAAUGAGGAAGUGUCUUUUCAUUACCAAGAAAUUGUGCACAAUUCGUAGCAUAUAACCAUAAAAUUUUAUGGUGACUUUGAUUUCAUUAACGUUUCCUUGUUUAUUUACCACAUUAGAUAUAUACCACAAUCUAUGAAAUCUGAACAAUUAAAAGUUACCUAAAGUUAUAUUAUGCUACAAUGAGAUAUAUUAUGCUACAAUGAGAUUAUAUUAUGCUACAAUGAGAUAUGUAGCAAUGAGAUAUACUACAAAAGAUAUGCUUUUAUCUCUUUUUGAGCUAUGAGUUUUCAACUUCUAAACUGUUGCAUUGAAGGCUAUCUAAAACCCUGUGUCAAGCAUACCCUUUCCCCCCCACAGAUAAAAUCCUGUGACUUCUCCAUGAUAGGCUUCUGUAACUCACUUCUUUUUCGAAAUUAAGUCCGUGAUUUUGUUCUCAUUCAGCCUCUGCACAGUCUGAAAUUCAGCUUGAGCUAUUUCAUUUCUUACUUUUUACACUUGUGUUGACUUUGGGGAAUGUUUUUCAUAUACUCUUUAUGCUUUGCUUUUAUAUCACUCACCGAAAAGGUAGCUGCAAUUUACAUGUUCAGUGAUCUCUUUUUCACAGCGUUCUAAUAUUAAUCUCUUAGACAUUCUGCAAAUCUGCUAUGCUUCAAAUUAGCCACUCUAGUUCUUGUCUGACCUAGAUACCUAGAUUGCAAACUCUUCGGGGUAAGGAUCUUGUCUCUUGGUGGUUUAUAAUGUGUUCUAGACACUUCUUACCAGAUGCUGAGUAAUCAUAAUAUGCAAACUGGUGUAAUUAGAUCAUGAGUCUGUGAAUGACAGUGUAACUUGUAGAUAGCAUUCUACAGCUAGGUUAGGGUGUGGUCCAGUAGCACAGAUAGCCAGAGGUGGGUAAAAUGAUUAAGCAAAGGGAAAUUGGAAAUAAAGUCAUUAAAAGGGUAAGGGAAACCAAACCUCUUGUAGUAUGGUUAUUGAUGCCAAAGAGAAGUCGAGGUGGACUGUCAAACCUUGGAGGAGACUUGUACUGUAAGAGGCGUGCCAAAUAGGCUGAAUGAGAAAAUAUGAAAGCCCAUGACUGUUCACUUUGAGCCUGUUGGAAACCGGAAACAAACAAACAAACAAACAAACAAAACUAUUCCUCAGGUACAAAAAGCCAAUGAAUAUUUGAAAAAUGUGGUGGUAAUAUCCCACCUCACUUGGAAACCGAUCUGAUUAGUCUGUGACCCAAAUGAACUUUUUUUCCUGUUUCUAUAUUGUUAUGGCUCUAAUCUCCACAUCUCCUAGGAGUUUGGAAAGUGACAAGUUAGAAACAGAAAUUUGGAGACACUCCUUCUCUAGCAUCAGGUCGCUUCUGGUC